AUAAUGGGUCAGCGACUUAUAUUCUGUAGCAAGGUUAACCGAAUAGGGGAGCCGAAGGGAAACCGAGUCUUAACUGGGCGUUAAGUUGCAGGGUAUAGACCCGAAACCCGGUGAUCUAGCCAUGGGCAGGUUGAAGGUUGGGUAACACUAACUGGAGGACCGAACCGACUAAUGUUGAAAAAUUAGCGGAUGACUUGUGGCUGGGGGUGAAAGGCCAAUCAAACCGGGAGAUAGCUGGUUCUCCCCGAAAGCUAUUUAGGUAGCGCCUCGUGAAUUCAUCUCCGGGGGUAGAGCACUGUUUCGGCAAGGGGGUCAUCCCGACUUACCAACCCGAUGCAAACUGCGAAUACCGGAGAAUGUUAUCACGGGAGACACACGGCGGGUGCUAACGUCCGUCGUGAAGAGGGAAACAACCCAGACCGCCAGCUAAGGUCCCAAAGUCAUGGUUAAGUGGGAAACGAUGUGGGAAGGCCCAGACAGCCAGGAUGUUGGCUUAGAAGCAGCCAUCAUUUAAAGAAAGCGUAAUAGCUCACUGGUCGAGUCGGCCUGCGCGGAAGAUGUAACGGGGCUAAACCAUGCACCGAAGCUGCGGCAGCGACGCUGAUGCGUUGUUGGGUAGGGGAGCGUUCUGUAAGCCUGCGAAGGUGUGCUGUGAGGCAUGCUGGAGGUAUCAGAAGUGCGAAUGCUGACAUAAGUAACGAUAAAGCGGGUGAAAAGCCCGCUCGCCGGAAGACCAAGGGUUCCUGUCCAACGUUAAUCGGGGCAGGGUGAGUCGACCCCUAAGGCGAGGCCGAAAGG
rnacentral:rRNA from 1 species